CAACUACUCCCUCUGUCCCAAAUUUCUUGUCUUAGAUUUGUCUAGAUACAUAUGUAUCUAAUACUAAAAUGUGACUUGAUACAUCCGUAUCUAGACAAGUCUAAGACAAGAAUUUUGGGACGGAGGGAGUACUUU
rnacentral:pre_miRNA from 1 species